AAACGCCAUUACCGGGGCGGCAGCGUCAUCC
rnacentral:ribozyme from 1 species